rnacentral:rRNA from 1 species
ACAUGCAGUCGAGGGGCAGCGGGGAAAAGCUUGCUUUUCCGCCGGCGACCGGCGCACGGGUGCGCACCGCGUAUGGAACCUACCUUUUACAGGGGAAUAGCCCAGGGAAACUUGGAUUAAUGCCCCGUGGCACCAUUUUCUGGCAUCAGGAUAUGGUUAAAGCCUUCGGGCGGUAGAAGAUGGCCAUGCGUCCCAUUAGCUUGAUGGUAAGGUAACGGCUUACCAUGGCUACGAUGGGUAGGGGCCCUGAGAGGGGGAUCCCCCACACUGGUACUGAGACACGGACCAGACUCCUACGGGAGGCAGCAGUGAGGAAUAUUGGACAAUGGAGGAGACUCUGAUCCAGCCAUGCCGCGUGCAGGAAGAAUGCCCUAUGGGUAGUAAACUGCUUUUAUACGGGAAGAAAAAGGGCUACGUGUAGCCUGUUGACGGUACCGUAAGAAUAAGGACCGGCUAACUCCGUGCCAGCAGCCGCGGUAAUACGGAGGGUCCGAGCGUUAUCCGGAAUUAUUGGGUUUAAAGGGUCCGUAGGCGGGCCGGUAAGUCAGUGGUGAAAGUCUGUAGCUCAACUAUAGAAUUGCCUUUGAUACUGCUGGUCUUGAGUUAUGGUGAAGUUGCCGGAAUAUGUGGUGUAGCGGUGAAAUGCAUAGAUAUCACAUAGAACACCGAUUGCGAAGGCAGGUGACUAACCAUAUACUGACGCUGAUGGACGAAA